ensembl:lncRNA
CCCCCAAAUAGUCUGAGCUAAACCAGUUAGAGCAGACUGCCCCUGCUUUGAGUUAAACCAGGUAUCCUUAUGUAAGCACUUGGAAACACCUCUGAAAACACAGUAAGGAGAUUAAGGACAUUAUCUCUCAGGACACACAUAAUCUUUUACACCUUUCCAUCAAAGGAUGCUGCAUUACAAGAUGUUUUAGCAGUUUAGUGACUGGCUAGACCAACAAACGGGGAGUACUUAACUCCAGUCAGGCCAGAAAGAUAAAUUCAUUCUGAAAUUACACUUACCUUACAACUCCGGGCUCUGCUGCCUGACAGGCGCUCCAGAUUCUGAGCUGUGGGACGGACAAACGGAGGCCUCACCUCAGGCCUCCAGCUUGGCCGCGGUCGCCAUGGAAAACCUCCCGGCUACCGUAGCCGCUAUAGCGACCGCUACUGUGGCGCACGUCGGCCUGUGUGCGCCCCCUGCUGGGCGGAGGGCGAGCAGCGCCGGCGGGACCCGGAGGAGGAGGGCGGGAGGCGGCGCUCAGCGCUACCGCCAUGAGGGGUCACGGCAGGACGGCAGCACUCACAGAGCGAUUGGGCAAUGCCUGCCAUGAGUCGUGGGAUCACAGAAGCGCUAAGAGUGGAAAAGAUUGGUGUAGUCCGACUGUCAGUGCAUUGCCACCGUGCACACUACACGGUGUCCCUCAGUGCCAUAUGGAUGUGUUUUGUGGAAUCCAUUCUGAUUCUGAUUUGGUUAAACAUGAAGGCACCGAAGAACAAUUGCCAUCUGUGCUUCCAUGUGCUGUCCAGUGCAAGUCUGCCAGCUCUGUUUGUUGUGAGAGUCACGUCGCUUCAGGAAUUUGUACGCCAGCAUUUAGUCAAUGGCAAAAUAAAGCCAGGAAUACAAAUGAAUAUUGUUCGUCCACACACAUUUGGUUUCUCUGUUGAGCAGACUUGAAAUGAAAAGACUCUGAAAGGAAGUUUUCUUCAGCCAGUCUCGGAUACUCAUCGCAAGUGAGAAAGCAGUUAAAAUUUGAUUACUGUCUCUCAUUUCCUGUUAGUGCAAGAGAUAAAGACUGUGCUUCCAAUAUGGCCUUUAUAUAUCCCAGAUUGUUUUAUGGAAGUAUAAAUUGCAGUUUAGAUUCAAAGACACAAAGAAAUAUGGGCUCUGUAUUUUGACACUGAAGUCUGUAGGAAUUACUUUGCUGAAGGUGCUGCGGCACUUCUUUCAAUCAGGCCUUUCGUCUGCAGAUGGAGUAUUGUAUUCCCAUUUGCAAACUAUGGGUCAUUUGUUUUGUCCUCGUGUGCAACUUCUCCUGCUGUCUAUGGGAAACGUGGGAGCUGAUCAAGGACAGGAUGCCCAUAUAAACCAAUAUACUAGAACGAUUUGUUAGGCAUGACAGCCUGAAUCUGGUGAAAACAUCGGUUUCCAACAUUUGCUCUUUUCUCUCGUCUCGCAAAGCAGCAUGGUGCAAGGCAUGAGCAGCUGAAGAGAAAUAUGGAAAUUAAUUAAGAGAUGUCAGUCUCAUGCUGCACGCCUUGAUCCUGUUCACAUUUAAGCCAGUGCAAAUUUUGCCAUUAACUUCAAAGCGAUAGCCGUGACAUCACUCAUUGAUCAUGAGAGUUAUUUCAUAUAUAAUCAAAUAAUCACAUCAAGGGCUCAGUCGUCCUGCAAGCUGCUAAAAAACUGUUGCAGAUUGAAGCCUUUCUGUCUGCAGAAGUGUGUUCAAAGAGGCUCUUACAAAGUAUAGAAAAAUGUGCAGAGGGAUCAAUGCUGUUGGAAACCUCAGUGCCCAGAUGGGAGGAAAAAACCCAAACCACUCUUGAUGACUGUUGUGGAGAGGAGGCAUUGCCUAGUGUUGAAAUGUCAUCCACUGCAUUCAAGUGACAUGCACAAUAGCCACUUAAAAGAUUUUUCAUUUCCUUCUAAUGCCAACCAGUUGUAGCUCUCAAGUGCUCUUAACAGCAAAGCUUAAAAAAACCGAGAGCAGGAAUAGCCACGAAUUUUAGCAAAGAAUGUGGCCAUUAAUGCAAUGUGGCAAUCAAAACUGAAGCGUAGCUGCAGGUUCUGAAGUUGAUCCUGCUGGGCAGAGCCCCAUAAUAUAAGGUAAAAUUCUGUCUCUGCUGACAUCAGUAGGAGGCCUUUGUUGACCUGUGUAAAAUUGGAUUUUGCCACUGUACUCACUGGUUUCUCUUUUACAUGUGGCUUGUGUACACUUAAACAUUUUUGCUUCAGAUUGUUAAAAUAUAAGGCUUUACGUAUAUGUAUAAUGAUUUCAAGCUAUUAAUGGUAAAAUUAAAAGGGAUAAGAUAUCCAUACUUUUGUUUGUGCAUGUCUUAUUUCUGAUUCAUAUCAUCUGUAAAUGUCUGUGGGGAAAAAGACAUCAAAUAAAAAAGAAACAAAACGUCUGCCA